ACACAUUGCCCCAUUUUAAAAUACACCAGUCAUACUAGAUUGGGGCCCAUCCUACUCCAGUAUGACCUCAUCUUAACUAAUUACAUCUGUAAUGGCCCCAUUUGAGAUAUUGAGGAUGAGAACAUCAACAUAUGAAUUUUGAGGGGACACAAUUCGACCCAUGACAUGGGGGAUUGAAGCCAGGGUUUCUGUAUGUGUGUGUGAAGCACUGCUUGAGCCUGAAGGUUCAAGCUUUGGGCCUCUUUUAAAGGCAAAAAUUCUCAUUAUUCACUAAAAUGUGGGCUUUUAAAUAAAACUAUUAUUUCAAAAAAUCAUUAAAUAGCCCUUCAUACUAAAAAUAAAUUAUGAAAUUUCCCCCUCCAUUCACUAACCUGGUAUGACAGCUAAAUAUUAUGCAUUUGAUGACCCUAGAAAGUUCCGAAUUAAAAUACUAAGAAGGCAGUGGAAGCCGCACAUAUGCCCAAAAGCACAUAAGACCAACAGAAUCUAUGAUGACUUAUUAUAUCUAAAUUUUCUGUUAUAAAUUUUUAAUUCAUUAAAACACACCCACACAUAUACCCCUUUCUUCAUUAGUGCCAAAGGGCUAUGUCUGUUAUUUUUAUCCCUGCCAGAAAUCAUCACUGGGCUGAAAGAAUGUAGUACUGGUGACAUGAGCCUGCAUUUCCAUUUUUAAUUAAAAUUCUAACUGACCCAGAGCCAGAUUUCCUUCUGCACCAGAGCCUGUGGAAGCGCCACAGUGGAAGCAGCAGAGACUGGAAGAGCAGGCAAGAAGCUGGGAGCUUUGCACUGAACCAGGAAGUCACCACAGCUCUUAGGCAAAGACCCGGAAAGGUGUCAACAUGGCCACACUACUGCUCCCACCUUGUCCUUACUUUCCUCAUCUCAUCCCACAGGCCACAGAUCAGCCCUGGGGUUCAGAGGGAUCCUGACAGCUACUCCUCAAGAUCCUCUCUGUUGUGAUUCAUCCCCCCGGGGCCCUACAGUUUCUCCUUCCUGACUCUUACAUUUCUUUGGAUGGCAUCAUUAUUUACCUGUCUCCUCCCAUAGUUAGGUGCCAAGCACUGUGGAUUCUGCCUCUCAGUGUCCAGACACCCAUUUUCCUUCCCACUGUUCCUUCCCCAUGGAGAAGCCUGUGGCUGGCUGACAGCAGAGAGAGAUGCUCAACUUGGAGAAGGUGUUACCUGGGCCAGGUGGGGAAGGUUUGUUUGCAGAGCAAAGAAGUGAAGCCUAUUCAACGUGAAAAAGAUGAGGAUGAAGACCUUUAUUAUGAUCCACUUCCAAGUAAUGAACACACUGGAGAAAGUCAGACAGUCAAAACAAUGUCCCAGACUCCGUGAAGUUCCUGGGUAGAGAAGGAGACAGACAUAUACCAUACCUAAUAAUUGGAUGUCCGAGAGAAUGAGAGAAUGGCAGAAAGAACUUUAGAGCAUGGGUAUGAUGGCUAGAGCUUGAGCAGCCAUUGUGGACAUCAGAUGAACUUGAAAGUGAAAACUAUGAGCUGAAUACGACAAAGCAAACAGAUAGAAAACUGGAUUCAUUAUGACAUUGCAAAGCUGCCAGACCAGCUCUAGUCUGCUUCCCCCUAAUCUUCCUUACUAAGAGAGAGAAAUAAACUUCCAUCUUCUUCAAG
rnacentral:lncRNA from 1 species